GGAGCACACCCAGGAAGCUGGUGGCCUGGUUCCAUGGGCUGGAUGCUCAGGAUCAGGUGGGAAGGACAGGGCGUGAGAGUGGGAUUUUUCUGAAAAUACUUUCAUGUUAUUCUGACUCUUUUCAAGCAUAUGACUUAUUUGGGGGAGAACACAGAUGUCCUUGGACCUUAGACUGUUCUGUGUUCUGUAGCAGAGGGCACUCUGCCGAUGUCACUAAGGUCAUGGCAGGCCAUGCAGGCUCAGCGUGUAGGUCUGCAGUCACAGGCCUGCUGAGAAAACACUGCUCUUUUUUUUUUUUUUUAAGAUUUAUUUAUUUUUAAUUUUUGGCCACACCUUGCAGCAUGUGAGAUCUCAGUUCCCUGACCAGGGAUUGAACCCACAACCCCUGCAUUAGAAGGCUGAGUCUUAACCACUGGACCACCAGGGAAGUCCUGAAAACACCGUCCUUGAUUGCACACAAGGCCACCUGGUGAGCCGAGCGUGCCAGCAAGGAUCCCUGCAGAAUGUUUUUAAACACCGUAAAGGGGUUGUAUGCUCAAGAGCAGAUCCUAAAGGGCUGGGCAAACCUGGGCCAGGGUGACCGACACACAGCUGACCCUGGGCAGCGAGGACUCAGGUGAGUACACAGCCUCCCCAAGUGCUGGCAGGAGGAGAUGGAAGAGCAGCCAGCAGACACAGGACAGCCUCUGGGGUUAAAUAAAUCAUGGGGCGUAUGCUCACCCACGGCCCAGGGCCCAGGCCUCUGCUGUAUCUUAUAAACAAAUAGGCGAUGGUCCACAUGGCCUCCCCUGCCUCCACUUGUAGCUGCCUUUCCGUUCUCUGCCUGCUCCUGCCUCCCUGUCUUUCCCCAGGACUUGUUUGGGUUCACGUCUCUGUGGCCACCCCGAGCUCCAAGUCACAGCUUCCUGGCGGGGGCCCAGGAGACGCCUAAGCUGAAGGUAGUGAUAACUCAGCGGGUGGGCUGCCUGGCGCCUCGCCUGGCAGAGACCUGGGCCCUGGGAGGGCAUUCCUAAGACCCCCUUAGCCACAGUGUGAGCUGACACGCCAGGGUACCUGGGUGCAACGUGGGGGUGCAGCGUGAGCGAGUAGGGGGACGUGGGAGGCCUGGAGAGGGGAGGACUCGGAUGGACACACAGGCAUUUUGUCUGCAGGGGGAAACCCAGGACACAGGUGGACCACAGCUCCUCCGAGAACCCUGCCCUCCAGGAACCCCGCCCGCGGGCACAGGCCAGAGGCCAUGGGGGAUUUCCAGAAAGGGGGCACUGAAUCUGUGACACUUCCUUCUGAGGGUCUCAGGCUCUCUCUCUGCAGGAGCUUGCUGGCACUGCCAUGACCGAAUACCAAAUGGGGGUGGGGGAGGUGUGUUCCAUGAUGGAGAUGCAUUCCUCCCAGUUCCAGAGGCCGGAAGUCCAAGGUCAGGGUGUCAGAGGUUUGGUUCCUCCCUCCACGGCUUGGAGGCAGCCACCUUCUCGCUGUGUCCUCACCUGAACCGCUGGUCUCUCUGUGUCUAAAUGUUCUCUUCCUGUAAGGACGCCGGCCAGAUUGGAUCAGGACUACCCCCAGCAGCCUCACGUACACUUAAUCCCUCUCUGAAGGCCCUGCUCCACGUACAGCCCCUGACUCCACAUACAGGAGACUCCCAUCUCCAUGUACAGCCCCAUCUUGGGUCUCAGGGUACAAAUCUGGGGACAUGACCCAGCCUGGAGAUGACACUAUCUGGAAUUCCAGCCCCAAACCUCUUCACUAACUGAAGGAGGUAAAUGGGAUGAGGAGACAGAAGUAUCGACUGAGUUUGGAAUGAAGCACCCCAGGCUUCCAGGAAGGGCUAUCUCGUCCUCUGCUUACAGAAAGGGUCCCGUCCACGUGAUGAACCUGGGCCCCUGGCAGGGCAGAUGUGUCUGGUCUGAGCAGGAGGAGCUUCCUGGGAGUGGACGGUGGUCAGACACCUGGACCCUGGGCCUGAGGGAACUCAGGUUGUUGCUGGGGGCGGAGAGGCAGGGGAGGAACGAAUGGACAAAUUCCUUGAAAGCAACAGAAGCCUCCCGGCCAUGAGUGACCCAGUUCCACUGGUGGCUGGACUUCAGGUGCUGCUGGAACCCGAAGGAGGUGGGCCACGAGGCCGGGGCUGAAGCAGCCAGGAGUCUGCAGCUGCUGCUCCUGCUAUAGGUCUUUCUGUUCAAAACAGUGAAAGCAGUCAGAAGGCCUGUCACACAGACGACUCAAGAUCUCAGAGUUUCAUUUCAAGUUUCUAAAACCUCCAGACAACUGCCGGGCUUGCUCUGCUCACCAUCGUCCCCCACUCCCCAAUAACAGGUGUAAACUGACAUUUUCCACCCCCAGUGUGGAGGAGAAAAGGGACUCCCUGCCACCCUGUCUUGUCUGCAGGACUCCAGAGCUCAUCCCUGCAGCCUACCCCAGCCCAGCCUGCCCCUGGCUUUUUUAGGGGCCCCGGGCUCCCUCCUGGCCACACUGGCUGUGGUCCACAGGAUGAGGGCAGAGGGGAAGGAAGAGGCUACAGGAUUCAGGAAGGACAAAUGGAAUCGGACAGAUGGACGAGAACUCGGGGAACUGAGGACCAGCCAGGUGGGCUGACACAAGCUUCUUUCUCCCCUGCAGUUUCCAGGUCAAGGUCUGACCUGGCCUGGUUCCCCCGCCUGCCUUCAACCUCGCAUACCCCAUACUGCCCUCUGGAAGGCCCCUGUGUUUACUCCCAGUCACAAAGCCCCUCCUGGGUCCCUAGGUGUUCUUGGGCCCCUUGAUCAGGGUGGGGCCUCCCUCUUUGUGGCUGGGAGUCCAGGGCAGCAAGCUGGCCCUGGCAGGGGCCAAGGUGCUUUCAUUUCAGGAGCUGCACAGUGAAUACAGACCUGCCUGAACCAAGAUUAUAAUUCACCUUCACUGGGAAGGGCACCAUCACUUCUGCAGACAUCUAUCUGGCUUUAACAGGAGCAGAAGGUAUCCAUUAGCCCUUCUUGAAUUUCCAAAGAAAAGGAGCCUAAAUCUGACUUCCCAGGAAACACCUUCAGCUCGCGCCCUUCCUCAGCCAUACCCACAACACCCAAGGCCCCACAAGGUCCACAUCUAAACCUCUCGGUAAUGAAACUCGGGCUGUAAUCUAGAGAGCCUCCGGACCCCUAGGGGGUGGGGGAGCCCCCUCCUUGGGCACAGUGGAGCUUAGUGAUGGAGUUCUUGAGAGCGGGCAGAGGAAGGGGGCUCCCACUCUACAAGAUGAGAUCUCCCAGUGAUAAAUGUAUAGUCCCCAAGGACUUCAUUGUGAGGCUAUGUCACAUAUCAUCUCAUUUAAUCCUCCAGGAGCUAUUCCCAUCGCAGAUAUGAGGAAACCAAGGAGCUGACCCAAAGGGUAAUGUGCCCAGGGUCAUAGGGCUGGCCAAAGGAAGGGGCCAGGUGACCCCAUGGCCCUCCGGUCACCACCAGGCUAUCCUACCUCCCCCAUUGAUAGAUGUCAACUCUGAGGAGUUGGUGGACCACCAGCAAGAGUGACCUUGGCAACCAGGGAAGGUUGUCCUGAUCUGCUGUCAAGAGCACCCAGAGCAGGGACCUCGUGACAGUGGCUCUGGGGACGAUGCUCUUCGUUACCAUGGUUGACCUGCUGGCCCUCCACCAACUUCUGCUUGACUCCUUUGGUUUUGUACAGAGGUAAUACCUUCAGGGAUUUCUUUGGAAGGAAUGAUGCUAAAGCUGAAACUCCAGUACUUUGGCCACCUCACGUGAAGAGUUGACUCAUUGGAAAAGACUCUGAUGCUGGGAUGGAUUGGGGGCAGG